UUAAUCAUUUUGUUAUCACUCCUGUAUGAUCAGCAAUGAAUGUAAAUAUGUAUAUAUAUUAUUUUGUUUUCCCCUAGCCUCAUACUUUAGAUUAUAUUAAUAAUAGCAUUCCCACCUUAGCAAAACCAGAACUUUCUCUCACCUCCCUAUUCUGCAUGACUCUUGCGCCUCCCACUGACUAUAAAUAAAGGAGUCAAGGGGAACCACCCUUUGUAACACAUUCUGCUGUAGUUUGCAUUGCAGAGAGUGUGGGUACCCUUGCAAGUAAAACUGUAACCUGUGUGUGUCUCAUAAAUGUGGAGUUGGGGUGGAAACGCCGGGCGCUUUCCCCAACAUAGAAUUUGGUCCUUCGAGCCGGAUCCGAGGAACCCCGAAGACGUCUCCAGUACGCCGAGAGAAGCGACACCGAAAACUGCCGGCAGUCACUCGAAGACGGGUGCAAGAAAGACCUGUGAUGUGAAUUCGUCAUCAGGCCGGUGGUUAGAACUGCGCUCGACGUCUGGUGAUGUCUGAAGGACCUCGGUGACGGAACAGAGAGCACACUAUACAGGAUAACUUGCAGCCAGGGGAUUGGAUCCUGGUCAAGGUCCUGUUGCGGAAGGAGUGGAGCACACCCCGGUGGGACGGUCCUUAUCAAGUCCUCCUCACAACACCAACAGCUGUGAAAAUAGCAGAACGACCUUCCUGGAUACACAAAAGUCACUGUAAACCCAUCAAGCCCUUAUCAGAGGCCUCAGCGACAGAGUAGCAGUGGAAGUCCGCUACAAAGGCACAGUAACCAAUAGGGUGCUGCUGUCUCAACCCGGUGAAGAAAACAACUGAACUGCACUCUAUUAGGAUGGCUCUGACGGGGUGGGGAUGUGGUAAGGUGACUCUAGGGGUCAUUCUUGUUGUUGGACUUGUAUGGUUGUCCUUGCUCCCACUAGCUCCAUUGCAACACCUACGGCGAUGGACCCAUGACGACUUCCAUCUGUGCCCGUUGCCUGCUGACCACUCACACCCGUUCAUGAAGAACUACUGGUAUCAAUAUGUACAUGACACUGUAACAGCAAAAAAUGUGACGAAUUGCUAUGUUUGUUCUGUGAUGCCUACUCAUAGUGAACGACCCACUGUAUAUGGAAAACCCAUGAAUAUGUCACAGGCCAAAUGUGCCGCAUCUUUUGCAGGUAUAGGGUACCAAAGUAUUGUUUCACUUAUAUUUUCUUUUGUUUUGUUUUUUUAUUUUGUUUUUCUGUUGUUUUAUAACUGUUAUACCAUGUUUGAAAAUGUUUAUUAAUCAAGCUCUUAAUGCUGCUUUUCGGACACACAGUACAAUGUUUCUCUCCCUUACUCAGAAUAUGGAGACAGAGCCUGUUUCCAGCGAUAGCGAUGAAGAAGACAUGUAAUUCAUAAUGACGGCUGAGCCGAAAGCACCCGUGCAGGGCUUGGACCUGAAGUAACGGAAUUAGAUGUUUUUCUAUGAUAAACAGGAGGAACGACUCCUGAUGGUUUUCUGUACUCCACAGUUAGGAUGAUGAUGAUGUGAUCUAAAUGACAGUUGUACUGGAAAUGCUUUUGCAACUUGUACAAUACUGAUGUUUUUGAUCAUACUGUCAUGAUAAACAGGAGGGACUGUUAGGUUGAAGAAACUGUUAUUAAUCAUUUUGUUAUCACUCCUGUAUGAUCAGCAAUGAAUGUAAAUAUGUAUAUAUAUUAUUUUGUUUUCCAAUAGCCUCAUAGUUUAGAUUAUAUUAAUAAUAGCAUUCCCACCUUAGCAAAACCAGAACUUUCUCUCACCUCCCUAUUCUGCAUGACUCUUGCGCCUCCCACUGACUAUAAAUAAAGGAGUCAAGGGGAACCACCCUUUGUAACACAUUCUGCUGUAGUUUGCAUUGCAGAGAGUGUGGGUACCCUUGCAAGUAAAACUGUAA